rnacentral:rRNA from 1 species
GAUGAACGCUGGCGGCGUGCCUAAUACAUGCAAGUCGAGCGAACGGACGAGAAGCUUGCUUCUCUGAUGUUAGCGGCGGACGGGUGAGUAACACGUGGAUAACCUACCUAUAAGACUGGGAUAACUUCGGGAAACCGGAGCUAAUACCGGAUAAUAUUUUGAACCGCAUGGUUCAAAAGUGAAAGACGGUCUUGCUGUCACUUAUAGAUGGAUCCGCGCUGCAUUAGCUAGUUGGUAAGGUAACGGCUUACCAAGGCAACGAUGCAUAGCCGACCUGAGAGGGUGGUCGCCCACACUGGAACUGAGACACGGUCCAGACUCCUACGGGAGGCAGCAGUAGGGAAUCUUCCGCAAUGGGCGAAAGCCUGACGGAGCAACGCCGCGUGAGUGAUGAAGGUCUUCGGAUCGUAAAACUCUGUUAUUAGGGAAGAACAUAUGUGUAAGUAACUGUGCACAUCUUGACGGUAACUAAUCAGAAAGCAACGGCUAACUACGUG